rnacentral:rRNA from 1 species
AGAGUUCGAUCCUGGCUCAGGAUGAACGCUGGCGGCGCGCCUAACACAUGCAAGUCGAACGAGAGAGAAGGAGCUUGCUUCUUCGAUCGAGUGGCGAACGGGUGAGUAACGCGUGAGGAACCUGCCUCAAAGAGGGGGACAACAGUUGGAAACGACUGCUAAUACCGCAUAAGCCCACGGGUCGGCAUCGACCUGAGGGAAAAGGAGCAAUCCGCUUUGAGAUGGCCUCGCGUCCGAUUAGCUAGUUGGUGAGGUAACGGCCCACCAAGGCGACGAUCGGUAGCCGGACUGAGAGGUUGAACGGCCACAUUGGGACUGAGACACGGCCCAGACUCCUACGGGAGGCAGCAGUGGGGAAUAUUGCACAAUGGGGGAAACCCUGAUGCAGCGACGCCGCGUGGAGGAAGAAGGUCUUCGGAUUGUAAACUCCUGUUGUUGAGGAAGAUAAUGACGGUACUCAACAAGGAAGUGACGGCUAACUACGUGCCAGCAGCCGCGGUAAAACGUAGGUCACAAGCGUUGUCCGGAAUUACUGGGUGUAAAGGGAGCGCAGGCGGGAAGACAAGUUGGAAGUGAAAUCUAUGGGCUCAACCCAUAAACUGCUUUCAAAACUGUUUUUCUUGAGUAGUGCAGAGGUAGGCGGAAUUCCCGGUGUAGCGGUGGAAUGCGUAGAUAUCGGGAGGAACACCAGUGGCGAAGGCGGCCUACUGGGCACCAACUGACGCUGAGGCUCGAAAGUGUGGGUAGCAAACAGGAUUAGAUACCCUGGUAGUCCACACCGUAAACGAUGA